GCAUCACCUGUAAGACAGAGAGGGAGAUCUGUGUGUGACAAUGGGAGCUAUUGCAGCGUUAGCAGUGUUGCUGGGAACUUUCUCUUAUGGUCAGUGUGUUGAACUCACACAGACAGGCUCUAUGGUUAUAACUCCAGGACAGUCUCUGACCAUCUCCUGUAAAGUCUCUGGGUAUUCCCUGACUGAUAGCAGCUAUGGUACAGCCUGGAUCCGACAGCCUGCAGGGAAAGCUCUGGAGUGGAUUGGAGUUAUCUGGUGGGAGGGAAGCACUGCUUAUAAAGAUUCUCUGAAGAGCAAGUUCACCAUCUCCAGAGACACCUCCAGCAGCACAGUGUCUUUACACGGGAGCAGCCUGCAGACUGGAGACACAGCUGUGUAUUACUGUGCCAGAAACACACAGUGCAGCAAAGCUACAGCAGGGCUGUACAAAAACCCACCCUGUUGAAUAUCCCUGCUGAACAUGCACUGGGCUUGUGUGGAUAAUAACAUGUUGGCUUGGUUAAGCAGGAGGAUCUGGCAGCUGCAUCCUGUGAGUUUCUGUGUGUGUCCAACUGCGUACAACCAGAGGAACCCCAACCCAAUCAAUGAAUAAAUAUAUAAACCAUUCUGGUCUUGGCAUCUGCCUACUGCUACACAGUCUUGGAAUUGUAAUAUUUUGGUGGAAAUUGUAAAAAGUUACU